ensembl:processed_transcript 4921529L05Rik RIKEN cDNA 4921529L05 gene
AUAUAAAAACAGCUACAGCGAGCAAGAGUGCGAUGCCUGCACCAGAGUACGGGGAGCCGGAUGCUCAAAAUUCAGAGUGCCAGGAUUACAAGCCAACGCCACCACACAUACGAUAUUAAUUGUGUGCUUCGGUAGGAAAUCUACUCACUGCCUUGUUGAACCUGGUCCUUGUGCAUGCUAGUGUUUCCAGAGGUUUAACGAAUGAGAGAAGAACCACUCUGAACAUGGGUGUCACCAUCCUAUCGGCUGCGGUCCUGGACUGAAUAAAGCCAAAAAAGGGGAAAGCCUAGGACCAAUGUUCACAUCUCUGCUUCCUGCCUAAAAAUGCUGCUGAUGUGACCAGCUACCUCAUCUCCUGCUAUCAUGCCUUCCCACCUUAGACUGUGACCACCCUAGACCACCAGCCAAGAUAAACGUCCCCUCCCUUAAGUUGCUUCUUGUCAGGCAUUUAGUCAACAGCAGUGAGAAAGCAACUGAUGCAAUGGUGCGACACACCAGCCUGAAUAACCUUGGACUCCUGAUAGAUCUUGAUUCAUCUGUAAUCCCUGAGGCAUUUUGCAGCUAUGCGAGCCAUGCAUGCAGCUUCACCUCUGCAUUGCGGAGCAUAAGGUCUCUCCAUCCUGUAUAGACAACCUUUAUGUACAAGUGUCUGUCCACUUCCUAGUCAACACAGAAUGUUAGGUCUCAGGUAGUACAUAUAUGCAACAUGAGCUCUCAGCUGAGCUAGAGAAAGAUUUCUGCCAGUCAGAUAAGAACAAAUGUUCUCAAGGAACUCGUGAAAUGGGCUUUCUGUCCACCAAAAGGAGUCAAUUUCCUUGCCCCNCCCCCCGCCACUAUCCUCCUUUUAAAUGAUUUUUAAUGAUUUUACACUCUGCCCUUGCUAGGCCACUUCUCUCACAGAUAGGCCUACCCAUGUCUAGUCUGUUUCUUUUUCUCUCUGCUCUGGACUCUUCCGGAUACCUCUUACCCACAAUUCUCUCUCUUACCUUCACCCUUAAUGGAGCAGCCACUCAGACAGGCAGGUGUUUUACUAUCUCCCCUAGCAUACAAAGACUCAGUAAAAGCUCUUUCCUUCAGUCUGAACUGUUGGCUUCCAGGGAGAGCCUGUGUCUCUGCUAAGCUGGUGACAGAUGACACUCUCUUUUAUGUUAAGAAAUCAUGGAAAUAACAUAGUUUAACAUACUCAUAAUAUACUCAUGUUUCUAAGUUAUUUACUAAUAAAUGUGUUCUAUACUUGUGUGUGUGUGUGUGUGUGUGUGUGUGUUUACAUAUGUUCACCAAUGUCCAAUGUGAGCUUUAAGCUCCUAAAAGGUUUGAACUGUUUCCCUGUGCCUUAUCUGAAACAAGGGCAGCCCUAGUGAUAGUCAGGACAGUGUGAGGGAAGGAGCUUACGGCUUGAUUGUUUUAUAAGAUGCUCUGAUGGUUGUCAGAACAAACUUGUCUCAUACUGAAUAAAAUUUGGAAUGUUUUUGCUGUUUGACAAAUUUCAGCUGUCUUCCUUUCUAGACUUUUUAGUUAAAUCUAUGUACUGUGUGUUCAGCACUGUCCUUCGAAAAGCACAUAGCUCAGAGUGUGUAGUGUCCUGUGGAUAAAUGCACUACCGUGCCAUUAGCAUAGUAAAAGAACGAAGGGUGAGCAAGCACUCUUCCUGUAGAGUUCUUGAAUGGAUCACCCAAUUGAGUCACUUCUUCAUGUAUCAAGUAUUUUGUCUUCCAGAAUGUAACCAUGGCAUUUUCAUCUCUCUCUCUAUCAUGAUGUUUUAAUUGUUAUCUUAAACAAUGCAUGUUAUACGAUGCUUUGUGUCCUAUAUUAUAAAACAAAAAGUACAUGUAUAUGUGUAUGUAUAUGUGUAUACAUACAAUGUUUUGUUAACUAAAUAAAGGCAACUAUCU